UUCUCCAAGAAGUGAGAAUAUCUCAAUCCCCUCACCUCACCCCUCUCACAAGGAAGAAAAGCUGGGGAGGGGGAGGGGGGGGGAGAUCAACUUGGAGCUCCUUAAACUUCUUGGAGCACUGUUACAUAAACUGGAAGUAUUAUUCUUCUCCAUUCAAAUGCUGGUUUGGACUAUUAGGGAGAGUUUGCUGGCUUGCUUUGAAGUCUGACCUAUUUCUUUUGCCAGGCGCUUUUUGGAAACUCUCCUUUUGUCAUGGUUUCUCCUUCCCUUUCCCUUUUUUCUCUCCGACUUUAAUGUCACCACAAAAGGCCGCGUGGGUGGGAAGUUGUGGCGCGAGGUAGCUAUCUCCAAUAGGUGCAGCCCUACCGGGCCCUGUGUCUCUUUCCUCUUCCCUGGGGUGUGACAAGGUACAGUGGCGGCUUAGAUCGCAUCCUACCUGAGGAAGGAAAAGGGCACCGUUUCGGCAGUCUCCCUCAUUCUGCGCUAUCAUCUCUAGGGGGGCCGGGAGCUUUGGAGAAUGGAGUCCUGAGCAGAGGCUCUGAACUUCCUUUCAUUCUCCGUCUCCGGGGCUCACAGAUAAUAAAUUCGAGGAAGCUCAUUCAGAAUUACUGUAAAAUAAUGGAAGUCAUCUGAGGCAACAAAGAAAGUGUCCUUCUGAAGAGUCCGGAGAUGUCCUGAUUGGAGUCACCACUGUAAAAUCUCCUGUCAGAACUCAGGGGUUAUUGGGAAGGUUGGACUGAUCUCCUCUUGCUUUCUCUGACCUAAGAGAGUGUCUGGAAGAUGCCCUGACUUUGGGAGGAGACCACAGGCUUGUUAAAGGGCAAAGAGGGUUGGGAAUUUACUGUUAUACUGAAGCAAUAAAAGCAUGCUGUGCAGGGAAGAAAAAGAGGAUGCCAACCUUUAGAAGUCCUGACUGACUGUGCUGGUCUCCAGGCUGCCUGCAAUGGAAAAUUUUUGAGAAGCAUUUAUUUUCGACACUCUGUCCUCACCUGAAGGCAUUUUGGCCUUUUCCAUGACUGAACAUCCACCCAAGGUUUAGAUAUUGGUGAACAUAAAAGGUCAACCAAAGACUGCUUGCUGACUUGGGCAGCUACACCCUGAUAUCAGCAGCAAAAUGGGCCCACACAGGGAAUUCUCCACCUGUAAGACAGUGUCUCUGAGCCCUGUUCCCCAAGAGGGGCCUUCGUUACAGUGACUGCUCUCUUAUUUUUGAAUCCAAUCGAGGCAGUGACAGACUUCAGUGGCAGCUGAAAGACUCAGCCUGGGAGUGAGAAAAUGUGAAUUUGACUCCACCAAGUGUGUCUCUGUGUGCCUCACUUUCUCCAUCUGAAAAUUCUCUCUCCUGUAGCUUUAAUUCAGGAAACAUGUCUGACCCAGACACAGAUGAAUGGAUGAAUGAAAAAUACACUGAAGAUUUUAACUAUGUGCCUGACUCUGCUAGGCAUGGAGAAUAUAAUACAAAAAUAGUCAAUAAGAUGUGCCAGUCAACUUCUGGAAGACAGAAUGAGGCUUAUUAUUUCAUGCAACUUGCAAGUCAAAAUAUCCUUCAUCAUGAUGUCAUUGGUCUUAUUCUAAAAUUAAGGACAAAUAACAUCAGCAAUAAGCAACAACUGCUCCCUUCUAUCAAGACACAGUAUUCAUUGGCUGUUAAAAUGUCUUCAGUGGAACAUGGACCAUAUGGCUUUUUUUCGAACUGGGAAAAACCAAACUCCUGUUCAAAUCCUACUUGAUGAAAGCAGGCUUGUCACUUGGAUUUCCUGGGUAUGCAAAUGGACCAGGGCCCAAGAAGAGCCCUUCAGUGUCUUGUUCCAUGCUACCUUCAUGGUAUAGACACCUCCUAAUGGGAGACAGCCUAAAAAAGGCUCCCAUUUUCCUACUGAAAUAAAGGCCUAGUGCCCCAACUGUAGAGCAGUACAGAGACAUCAA